rnacentral:rRNA from 1 species
GACGAACGCUGGCGGCGUGCUUAACACAUGCAAGUCGAGCGGUAAGGCCCUUUCGGGGGUACGACGAGCGGCGAACGGGUGAGUAACACGUGGGUGACCUGCCCUCCAGCUCUGGGAUAAGCCUGGGAAACCGGGUCUAUACUGGAUAUGACUCCAUGACGCAUGUUGUGGGGUGGAAAGCCUUGUGCGGCUGAGGGAUGGGCCCGCGGCCUAUCAGCUUGUUGGUGGGGUGANGGCCUACCAAGGCGACGACGGGUAGCCGGCCGU